AUGGCCCCAUAUGGCCCUAUAUGUCUCCAUAUGACCCUAUAUGUCCCCAUAUGGCCCUAUAUGUCUCCAUAUGACCCUAUAUGGCCCCAUAUGGCCCUAUAUGUCUCCAUAUGGCCCCAUAUGGAUCUAUAUGGCCCCAUAUGGCCCUAUAUGUCUCCAUAUGGCCCCAUAUGGCCCCAUCCCCCCCAGGAGCGCUUCCAGGUGAAGAACCCCCCGCACACCUACAUCCAGAAGCUGAAGAGCUACCUGGACCCCGGAGUCACACGGAAGGUGAGGGGGGAUGGGGGUGGGGGGCUGUUAUGGGGCGCUAUGGGGUGCUAUGAGUGCUAUAGGGUGCUAUGGGGGCUGUGGGGUGGCUGUGAGGUGCUAUGGGGGGGCUAUGGGGUGGCUAUAGGGUGCUAUGGGGCUCUAUGGAGCGCUAUGGGGUGCUAUGGGGUGGCUAUAGGGUGCUGUGGGGUGCUGUGGGGCGCUAUGGGGCUGCUGUGGGGUGCUAUUGGGUGCUAUGGGGUGCUGUGGGGCUAUGGAGUGCUCUGUGGGGUGCUCUGGGGCGCUAUGGAGUCUAUGGGGCUCUAUGGGGGUCUGUGGGGCUCUAUGGGGCUCUAUGGGCUCUAUGGGGCUCUAUGGGGCACUAUGGGGUCUAUGGGGCUCUAUGGGGCGCUAUGGGGUCAUUGGGGCUCUAUGGGGUGGCUAUGGGGUCUAUGGGCUCUAUGGGGUCUAUGGGGCUCUAUGGGGUGCUAUGGGGUGGCUAUGGGCUCUAUGGGGCUCUAUGGGGUGCUAUGGGGUCUAUGGGGCUCUAUGGGGUCUAUGGGGCUCUCUGGGGCGCUAUGUGGUGCUAUGGGGUGCUCUAUGGGGCGCUAUGGGGCUCUAUGGGGUCUAUGGGGCUCUAUGGGGCGCUAUGGGCUCUAUGGGGCUCUAUGGGGCUCUAUGGGGUGGCUAUGGGUUCUAUGGGCUCUAUGGGGUCUAUGGGGCUCUAUGGGGCUCUAUGGGGUGGCUAUGGGGUCUAUGGGGCUCUAUGGGGUGGCUAUGGGCUCUAUGGGGUCUAUGGGGCUCUAUGGGGCGCUAUGGGGCUGCUGUGCCCACAGAAGUUCCGCAGGAGGGUGCAGGAAUCAACACAGGUGCUCCGGGAGCUGGAGAUUUCCUUGA
rnacentral:lncRNA from 1 species